UCGGGAAUUUUGGGCAAUGGGCGAAAGCCUGACCCAGCAACGCCGCGUGAAGGAUGAAGUAUUUCGGUAUGUAAACUUCGAAAGAAUGGGAAGAAUCAAUGACGGUACCAUUUAUAAGGUCCGGCUAACUACGUGCCAGCAGCCGCGGUAAUACGUAGGGACCAAGCGUUGUUCGGAUUUACUGGGCGUAAAGGGCGCGUAGGCGGCUUUGUAAGUCACUUGUGAAAUCUCCGGGCUUAACUCGGAACGGCCAAGUGAUACUGCAAAGCUAGAGUGCAGAAGGGGCAAUCGGUAUUCUUGGUGUAGCGGUGAAAUGCGUAGAUAUCAAGAGGAACACCUUAGGUGAAGACGGGUUGCUGGGCUGACACUGACGCUGAGGCGCGAAAGCCAGGGGAGCAAACGGGAUUAGAUACCCACGUAGUCCCUGAGCGGGCUGGCAAGGCGCAU
rnacentral:rRNA from 1 species